rnacentral:rRNA from 1 species
GAUGAACGCUGGCGGCGUGCCUAAUACAUGCAAGUCGAACGCUUUGUGGUUCAACUGAUUUGAAGAGCUUGCUCAGAUAUGACGAUGGACAUUGCAAAGAGUGGCGAACGGGUGAGUAACACGUGGGAAACCUACCUCUUAGCAGGGGAUAACAUUUGGAAACAGAUGCUAAUACCGUAUAACAAUGACAACCGCAUGGUUGUUAUUUAAAAGAUGGUUCUGCUAUCACUAAGAGAUGGUCCCGCGGUGCAUUAGCUAGUUGGUAAGGUAAUGGCUUACCAAGGCGAUGAUGCAUAGCCGAGUUGAGAGACUGAUCGGCCACAAUGGGACUGAGACACGGCCCAUACUCCUACGGGAGGCAGCAGUAGGGAAUCUUCCACAAUGGGCGAAAGCCUGAUGGAGCAACGCCGCGUGUGUGAUGAAGGGUUUCGGCUCGUAAAACACUGUUGUAAGAGAAGAAUGACAUCGAGAGUAACUGUUCAAUGUGUGACGGUAUCUUACCAGAAAGGAACGGCUAAAUACGUGCCAGCAGCCGCGGUAAUACGUAUGUUCCAAGCGUUAUCCGGAUUUAUUGGGCGUAAAGCGAGCGCAGACGGUUAUUUAAGUCUGAAGUGAAAGCCCUCAGCUCAACUGAGGAAUUGCUUUGGAAACUGGAUGACUUGAGUGCAGUAGAGGAAAGUGGAACUCCAUGUGUAGCGGUGAAAUGCGUAGAUAUAUGGAAGAACACCAGUGGCGAAGGCGGCUUUCUGGACUGUAACUGACGUUGAGGCUCGAAAGUGUGGGUAGCAAACAGGAUUAGAUACCCUGGUAGUCCACACCGUAAACGAUGAGUGCUAGGUGUUUGAGGGUUUCCGCCCUUAAGUGCCGCAGCUAACGCAUUAAGCACUCCGCCUGGGGAGUACGACCGCAAGGUUGAAACUCAAAGGAAUUGACGGGGACCCGCACAAGCGGUGGAGCAUGUGGUUUAAUUCGAAGCAACGCGAAGAACCUUACCAGGUCUUGACAUCCCUUGACAAACUCCAGAGAUGGAGCGUUCCCUUCGGGGACAAGGUGACAGGUGGUGCAUGGUUGUCGUCAGCUCGUGUCGUGAGAUGUUGGGUUAAGUCCCGCAACGAGCGCAACCCUUAUUACUAGUUGCCAGCAUUCAGUUGGGCACUCUAGUGAGACUGCCGGUGACAAACCGGAGGAGGUGGGGAUGACGUCAAAUCAUCAUGCCCCUUAUGACCUGGGCUACACACGUGCUACGAAUGGCGUAUACAACGAGUUGCCGAACCUGCGAGGGUGAGCUAAUCUCUUAAAGUACGUCUCGGUUCGGAUUGUAGGCUGCAACUCGCCUACAUGAAGUUCGGAAUCGCUAGUAAUCGCGAAUCAGCUCGCCGCGGUAAUUACGUUUCCCGGUUC